rnacentral:rRNA from 1 species
UUUGACUUCAGCCCCACCUCCUUUGCUCUCCUGACGCACGUACCUCCUCUCCCAGAAAUCCCACACAACCUCCUCUCCCCACUCCCCAGCUAGGUUGCUGCCGCUCCUCCGGCGCUGGCGGGCUUCCUCGGCCUUUCCUCUCUCUGCCUGCGGUGCAUCCCUGGAUCCACGGAGGUGGAUGGCAGGGGCCCUAAGGUUGAUGGUGCUGAGGAGGAGGCGGAGCGGUUCUGUUGUUGGGUUGAGCGGCGGCCGGAGUGGGUCGACCAUGGAGAUGGCCGUACGUGGCGUCGUUCUCGGGCAGAGAAGGGGAGGGGAGCGUGAGGUGAAGAGGAGGCCCAUGGGAGCAGAUCCGGCCGUCAACGGUAGGGUUGGCCAUGGAUAUGGCCAUCUGUGGCGGCGGCGUCAGGCAGAGAAGCGGAGGGAGGGCGAGAUGAAGAGAGGAUGGAGACGGAGACGGAGACGAAGAGCCCAUGGAGAAGCUCCACCGAUAUCAUCGGCGGUAAGAAGGCGACGCCCACCUCCACCUUCGUGCAGUCACCCAGGUAAAAUUUUGGAGUUAUGCUAAUCAGGAGGUGUUGCAGGAAAUUGAUAUUGGCCAUUCAGCAAAUGUAUUUUGCGCAAAAUUUAUUGAGGAAGCAUUUGAUGAAAUAUAAGUUUGAGAAGCAGGAGAUGACGAGGUACAGCCUUUUCCAGUAUAUGUUUUCACUUAUCUUUCCCAGUUAUUCUUAGGCAUAUUUUAGGAGAUGUUCAUUUUUCUUUUCGAGGUUCGUCCGUUCGUGUUAUCAAUUUGUCUCGUUUAAAUGGCAUAAGGUGCAGGAAAAUUUCUAUGGAACUAGCUGCAAUUUAUUAAUGUCACUCCAAGAGGGCCAAGCAAAGGUUUGAGUGACAAUGUGCAACCCCUUUCCUCUAAUUCCAACUGUGUCAUGAAUUCUUGUGUUGCUGCUAUUCUGAAGGGCGUCAUGUUGUUAUUGUUGAUGAUUUAGUGCAAUCUAGUGGAACUCUUACAAAAUGCCAGGUUACCAUUCUGUUGCAAUCGCUGAUUGGUACAGUCUUGUGCCAUAAUUUCAAGUUGUCGUACCAAAAACUUAAUGCCUUUCAGAAUUCAAAUUUUACCUGAGUCCACAAUUGAUAGCAUUACCAGCAGGCUUAGUCAUGUAAAGUUGAGACGUUCAAUUUCGUUCCUUCUCCAAACCUGGUAAUAGAGUCUGUGGCAUGUGAAUUUUCAUGUUGUGGGUCAAUUUGGUGUGACAUAUUUACUUCAUUGUUCAGUGAAAUGGAAGUAAUACAUUUCAAGUGUCAAUUAUGAUGCUACAUGUGACUUAUAGUUGCAUAUACUAUGUUGUUCCUUUUUGCCCCAUGAGUAUUUAUGUUCUGUUCAUUUGGCAGAAACUUUUGGCUGCUUAUGUUGUCGCAAAAGUUACUGCCCAUGUCACUCAAACUAUGUUCCUGGUCAGUCGUAUGAAUGGUUCAUGAUCGUGAGUUCUGGUAAUUGGUGGUUUCUCAUUGUUCCCUAUUUUUCAGCUAGGCAAACUUCACUUUGCUCAUUCUUUCUCUUAAUUCCAGCUGGGCCAGGUGAGCAGUUUGAUUACUUCUGGAUCACGGAUUCGUGCCCUCAGACAGUGAAAGCCAUCAGCCAACCCUCCAUUUGAGGUGUUGAGCCUUGCUAGCUCAAUUGUUGACGCCCUUCAGAUAUGAAUGUGGACUAUGAAAUGCGCUGCUCCCAUAUAGAGCUUUCAUUUCUAGCUCGAGCAAAACAAAUAAUGUGAAGAGAGUCAUCUAAUUGUGUUGAAUCUUUGCUCCAUGUUUUGUUCUGUUGCCAUCUUCCUUCUCCCGUUAUGCAUCCGUUGUUUGUUUGCUAUUUUAUUGGGCAUAUUUUCGACUGGAAGACACAAAGGAGGUUGUGUAGUGGGGAUGGAUAUCUGGUGUUGGAAGAAGACGACGAGUAGCCAAAUACUUCUAGGUAUUAUCGUUUGGCAUGUUUCAUUAAAAUUCACAUUUGCAAAUAGAUGUGCUCAGCAGUCCUAUCCCCAACUUCAUGAUGAUGCUUCUGUUAAGUUCAUGCAGCAACACAAAUAUUGGGUUUGUACCAUGUAUUGUUUGCUUGCCUAAAAACAGAUGGUUGGUAUAUUUCUCGCAGUUUAGGAACACAGUGAAAUAAGAAAUGAUAUUUGAAACUUGAAAGCUUCUUGCGUUGGUAGAGCCCUAUUGGGUUAUCUUGGAAAUAACAAAUAAGGCAAAGGUUGUACAAUGUACAAGCUGCACUUGUUUGGUUUUGAUACUCUUGAAUGGUUCAUUGUAAUUGUGCCUGCUGUCAUUUGCAUCAUACAACCUUUUGUAUUUUGCCUGCUAUCAUUUGACCUCUAGGAAAACGGAGGGAGAUGAAUUGGGCAGAAACCUGAUGUCAUGGAGGUUUGCUCAUGACCGUUGGUGUGGUGAUGUUUAGUCACCGGAAACAAUUCUUGAGCAUGAGUCUGUAUUUUGUUUCCUUAUUCAACAUAGCGGUGAGGAAGCAAGAGAAAACUUAUUACUAAAUCAAUUAUCAUUCUAAUUACAGCCGUAUCUUAUGGCUUGGUCAUUUGAAUUACUGCAUAUCUAUUCCAUACUCGCGAGCAAAAGCUCUGGUUAAAAUGCAUAAUUGGUAAAUUACACUGCCCUGGUACACGACAAUGUUAGUUUCAGGACCAUGCUUUUUGCUGCUGGUGUGGUAUAUAACUGUGAUGGUAUAUAUCUUACAAAGUGUUUCUGACUCGUUCUUCUCAGACAUAGUUUUUGUUUAUUUAUUUGCUGGAGGCGACCGCGUCGCCGCCCAUGGACAUCACUGGAGGAGGCGCGGAAGACGGGCUCCGACUCCUCGGAUUCAGACGAGGAAGGAGACGCCGUCGACGAGCUACGCAUCCAGGCCCUGGAGCGCACCAUGUUGGAGCAGCCUCUCGACUACGAUUCCCAUGUUCAGCACCAUGGAAUGGAGCUUCCUCUGCUCGGGACGCCGGUCAUGUGCUCGUCAAGGUCCGCUGAUCCUUUCGCCUCCAAUCCCAUUCCCAGUCCCAGAAUAAGCAGCAGCAUCAAGGUCCUAUCCUCUCUCUUUUUAUCCUGGUACUGUAUCUCACUGGACCUGUUCAUGUGUCAGACUGUUGUACUCGUCAGCAUGCAAUUACUUGCAAUGAGACUCGGCAUAAUUACACAUACAUAACCCAUCUUGAGCAAUUGAGGGUACUAAAACACAGCAGGCCAUUUCUUUGUAACAACAGAAAAUCUUUGAUUUCAGUGCUGUUGGAUUCUAGAUGCAAGCUAGACAAUAUGUUCGAUCAACUGAUGUUUGUGUAGGUUCGUGGUAGAACUGAUGGCCACUGACACUGACACUGAUAGUAUAGGGUUGCAAGCCUCUGAAAGGCAGCAAGUAAUCUGGUUCGCACUCCCAUCCUAUGUAGGUCGAUGGUACUACUGACCAACCAGUGUUAUUAUUUUCUCAAAUUGUGUUAACCUUUGUCAAGAAUUGAUGUGGGCAAGCUUUUACUGUUUCUUUUGCAGCCAGAUAGCUGCAAUUAGUGAAGAACAAGAUAGCUUAUGGAAGGACCAUGCUAUAUUGCUACUUUGACUAAAUAAAAAUUCAUGGAUGCAGAUGCUAGAGACAUACAAGCUUGGCGGGGCCAACGCCACCAUCCUCACCGACGUCCAGCAAGCGCCAUGCAACUAAUGGUGUUGCUGCCAUGACGACGCCUGCCUCCAUGCUGAUCGAGCUUUUCGACCUGCCCGGAAUGGACAAGGUCAUUUGGGCAUCUGUUUUUUAUGUGCUAUUUGCUCUCUUUUUAUAAGGAGUGUAGCUACAUGAUCAAAUUUGUAUGCGCACUGUAGUUCUAUGUUGUAUCUUUCUUUCUGAAGAAGCGACAAUAUGCUCUUGUCAGUGUUAUUUUAUUGCUAUCCAUUGCCAUGUGCUACCAGAUCAGAAAAGAGAAGUGA